UAGCUCCUUCAGUCAAUACCUUUGCAUUCCUAUUUUAUAUUGCAUUAUAUUAAUAGUUACUGGUCAACAUUAUGUAAUGAUGUUCCUGAGUCCUUUAGUGUCUUUGCCUUACUUACUUGAUUCUCCUUGUUUGCAGUAGACUGUUGCUGUUUUCCUGUAAUGCGUUGUUCUUCUCCUGUUUAUUUAUACUAUCUAGCAAGGCCAUGGAGGAAUUUGGUAGACAUUUGUUAAUGAGUAGCUAGCCAUCCUGAGUUAAUAGACAAUGAUAUGAAUUGAUGGACUCAUUGAGAAGGUGCCAUAUUGUAUCAUUUCUGAUUACAAAUAAACCAAAAAAUUGAACUAAGAGUACAUAAUAGGUUAACAUUUCAUGUAGCUAAAUUAAGAGAGGCCAAAAUAUCAAAGGGAAAGUUGAAAGUCACAAGGAACCACCCUGGGUCUUAGCUCCAUCAACUGUGUCUCAUGGGAUGGCAGUAAUAGAGAAGAGAGUACAUAAGUAGAAGACCAAAACUGUAUUGUUACCAGAGUUCCAACCGCUGCUGACUUUUCUGGCUCUACAAAAGAGGGUCAAUGAGAUAUAUCUCCAUGAGAGGCAACAUCCAAAUCAUCUGCCAGGUGAUCCCACCUUGUCACAAAGGAUUGUGACUGACAGCAGAAAGAAAGCAGGCAUGAGAAAACGAGAUGCAGUCAAGAGCUGACGAUCACAUCAAAAAGGAAAGAAAGGUGAAACAUUUCGACUACAGUGAAAUUUGCUGUUAAGCUUUUUCUAUGGAGAGAAAAGCUUUCUUCAUAGAGAAA
rnacentral:lncRNA from 1 species